CUCUGUGCGAGCCGUGCAUGGGAGCGGGCGUUUUCAGGGGGUCCAGAGGUGAUUUUUUUCCAUGUUUGUUUGCUUUUGUUUCCCAGAAGUUAGAUCAAUUCUCGUCCAUGCGGCUUGCCGGUGCCUGUGCUCUCAGGAUCCUGUUGGAGCUUUAUCUGGAAUGAUUCUGGAGGUGGUGACUGCAGGGAAGAAGUUACCAGUUUCCCACGUAUCAUGACUGGCAGUGAAGUUCCUUCAGUUCUGGGAGACUUUCAACAGUUCCACUCACUCCCAAAGCACAUCUGUGAAUGCACUUGGGGUUGCACUUCUUGAGAUUCCAGCCCGGAGCUUUCUGCAGCCAGAGAUCUCCACAACAGGGGAUGCAGCCUGGAAGGAGACCUCUGCUUUCCAAGCUGGUGACCUGGAACACAUCUGCGAAGCCCUCCGAAGUAGCAGGAAUGCGCUCCGUUAGGACAUGAUUCAUCCUGCAUACCGCAUGGGUGGCUGCUCAGGGAGAAUUUGGACAUUUGCAUACGCUGCCGAGACUUUCCGCUUCUCACUUGCUCUCAAACCUCUGCACUUCAUCCAGAGCGUGGGGGGCUGCACAGCCAGAAUUCCCUUCCCGAGGGAUUGGCUGGAGCCAGCCCAGCAGUGGUGGUCCUGGUGCUCCUUCCCCUGGCUGCAUCGUGAGGGAGAAAUGAGAGAAGCUACUCCCAGCCGUGUUGAAGGAUGGUUUCAGAUCCUCUGCUCCUGCUGCAAGCAAAGCUGGGGCAGAGCUGCUGCCUGGGGAUCAAUUUGGGAUUUGGUAUCUGCAGGACAGGAAAAUAUCAUCACAGACCUACUGCUCAGGCAGAACCAAAGCACGGCAAAGGGAAGCGCCGCGAACAGGACUGAGUGAGCGCGCUGCUUCUGGGAAGGAAACAGGAAUUGGGCAACGAGGCGGUUGGCUGUACCUUAGGGCUAAUCCCGGGUAACUGGAUUUACUUUGGCAGCUGCAGAGUCGGAUCAGCCUCAA